GAUGAAGAACGCAGCGAAAUGCGAUAAGUAAUGCGAAUUGCAGAAUUCAGUGAAUCAUCGAAUCUUUGAACGCACAUUGCGCCCCCUGGUAUUCCGGGGGGCAUGCCUGUCCGAGCGUCAUUACAACCCUCAAGCUCAGCUUGGUAUUGGGCCCCGCCGCCCCGGCGGGCCCUAAAGUCAGUGGCGGUGCCGUCCGGCUCCGAGCGUAGUAAUUCUUCUCGCUCUGGAGGCCCGGUCGUGUGCUCGCCAGCAACCCCCAAUUUUUUUCAGGUUGACCUCGGAUCAGGUAGGGAUACCCGCUGAACUUAAGCAUAUCAAUAAGCGGAGGA
rnacentral:misc_RNA from 1 species